UGUAGGUUGCUACAAUCUUCUUACAUUUUACCAUGUUUUUGACGCGCUCAAAUUCUGAUUUGAGCUAUAUAAAGUUAAUAAAAGUGGAAACUGUAUAUGAGAAGCAAACAAUACCAGUGAACUGUGUACACAUGAUAUUAAUAAUACUGCACAGAAGUAGUAUACCUCGGUGACCAUCCUUAAAGCUGGAUAGUCCGACAAUAAUAAUUUCAAAGUUGUCGGACUUGUGAGGAUUCGUUCUCGCCUUCUUUGGAACGUGGCCGACAUGGAUUCUUUGAUCCCAGUUGACUCCCACUGGAAUUAUGACGUCACAAGAAACCCAAGAAUACUAAUAUGUAUAAUGUAUACAGUGCAGUGCAGUACAUACCAAGAACGUCAUCGACUUCAUUUCCUUCUUUUCUUUUACUGGUUGUACCUGACGUGGACGUGGACGUGGACGUGGA